AUUGAACGCUGGCGGCAUGCCUAACACAUGCAAGUCGAGCGAGCGGCGGACGGGUGAGUAAUGUAUGGGGACCUGCCUGAUGACGGGGGAUAACUCCUGGAAACGGUAGCUAAUACCGCAUACCUUCAGAUUAAACAAUAUGGCAUUCGCGAGUAGGUGAGGUAACGGCUUACCUAGGCGACGAUCACUAGCUGGCCUGAGAGGAUGAUCAGCCACACUGGAACUGAGACACGGUCCAGACUCCUACGGGAGGCAGCAGUAGGGAAUAUUCCGCAAUGGGCGAAAGCCUGACGGAGCCAUGCCGCGUGAAUGAAGAAGGCCUUCGGGUUGUAAAGUACUGUUAUUCGGGAGGCGGUACCUACACAAAAAGCACCGGCUAACUCCGUGCCAGCAGCCGCGGUAAUUC
rnacentral:rRNA from 1 species